rnacentral:rRNA from 1 species
AGCUCCAAUAGCGUAUACUAAAGUUGUUGCAGUUAAAAGCUCGUAGUUGGAUUUCUGGUCGAAGCAGCCGGUCGGCACCUAGUGUGUUUGUACCAGGCGCUUCGUCCAUAUUCGUAAAGAUUAUGCCUGUCAUUAAGUUGUUGGGUAUAAGAUUUGCGUCAUUUACUGUGAGCAAAAUAGAGUGUUCAAAGCAGGCUUAGGCCAUGAAUAUCUUAGCAUGGAAUAAUAAGAUAAGACCUUGGUCUAUUUUGUUGGUUAGCAUUCCGAGGUAAUGAUUAAUAGGGAUAGUUGGGGGUAUUCGUAUUCAAUUGUCAGAGGUGAAAUUCUUGGAUUUAUUGAAGACGAACUACUGCGAAAGCAUUUACCAAGGAUGUUUUCA